UGCAAGUCGAGCGGACCUCUUCGGAGGUCAGCGGCGGACGGGUGAGUAACACGUGGGCAACCUGCCUGUAAGACUGGGAUAACUCCGGGAAACCGGAGCUAAUACCGGAUACUAUGUCAAACCGCAUGGUUUGACAUUCAAAGACGGUUUCGGCUGUCACUUACAGAUGGGCCCGCGGCGCAUUAGCUAGUUGGUGAGGUAACGGCUCACCAAGGCGACGAUGCGUAGCCGACCUGAGAGGGUGAUCGGCCACACUGGGACUGAGACACGGCCCAGACUCCUACGGGAGGCAGCAGUAGGGAAUCUUCCGCAAUGGACGAAAGUCUGACGGAGCAACGCCGCGUGAGUGAUGAAGGUUUUCGGAUCGUAAAACUCUGUUGUCAGGGAAGAACAAGUGCCGGAGUAACUGCCGGCGCCUUGACGGUACCUGACCAGAAAGCCACGGCUAACUACGUGCCAGCAGCCGCGGUAAUACGUAGGUGGCAAGCGUUGUCCGGAAUUAUUGGGCGUAAAGCGCGCGCAGGCGGUUUCUUAAGUCUGAUGUGAAAGCCCCCGGCUCAACCGGGGAGGGUCAUUGGAAACUGGGAAACUUGAGUGCAGAAGAGGAGAGUGGAAUUCCACGUGUAGCGGUGAAAUGCGUAGAGAUGUGGAGGAACACCAGUGGCGAAGGCGACUCUCUGGUCUGUAACUGACGCUGAGGCGCGAAAGCGUGGGGAGC
rnacentral:rRNA from 2 species